AGUGAACGCUGGCGGCAGGCCUAACACAUGCAAGUCGAGCGGAUGAAGGGAGAGUGCUCCUGGAUUCAGGGGCGGACGGGUGAGUGAUGCCUAGGAAUCUCCCUAUCUGUGUGGGCUAGCGUCCUGACACGGGCGCUCAUACCCCAUACGCCCAGAGGGAGAAAGGGUGGGAUCUUCGGACCUCACGCUAUCAGAUGAGUCUAGGUCGGAUUAGCUAGUUGGCGGGGUAAAGGCCUACCAAGGCGACGAUCCGUAACUGGUCUGAGAGGAUGAUCAGUCACACUGGAACUGAGACACGGUCCAGACUCCUACGGGAGGCAGCAGUGGGGAAUAUUGGACAAUGGGCGAAAGCCUGAUCCAGCCAUACCGCGUGUGUGAAGAAGGUCUUCGGAUUGUAAAGCACUUUUGGUUGGGAGGAAGGGCAGUAAGUUAAUACCUUGCUGUUUUGACGUUACCCACAGAAUAAGCACCGGCUAACUUCGUG
rnacentral:rRNA from 1 species